rnacentral:ncRNA from 1 species
UUGAGGUUCCCUGCCUGUUUUUCGGGCUGGGAUGAAAAGGGAAUCAGGUGCAAAUCCUGGACAGUACCCGCUGCUGUAACUCCCUGACGAUACAUCGCGCGGCAUCGUGCCACUGGUUGCAAACCCAUGGUCUGCAUCAUCACCGGGAAGGCGCCGACGACGAUGGGGGAGAAGUCAGAAGACCUGCCUCCA